rnacentral:rRNA from 1 species
GUUAAGUUAGAAAGGGCGCACGGUGGAUGCCUUGGCACUAGGAGCCGAUGAAGGACGGGACGAACACCGAUAUGCUUCGGGGAGCUGUAAGCAAGCUUUGAUCCGGAGAUUUCCGAAUGGGGAAACCCACCACUCGUAAUGGAGUGGUAUCCAUAUCUGAAUACAUAGGGUAUGAGAAGGCAGACCCGGGGAACUGAAACAUCUAAGUACCCGGAGGAAGAGAAAGCAAAUGCGAUUCCCUGAGUAGCGGCGAGCGAAACGGGACCAGCCCAAACCAAGAGGCUUGCCUCUUGGGGUUGUAGGACACUCUGUACGGAGUUACAAAGGAACGAGGUAGAUGAAGAGGUCUGGAAAGGCCCGCCAUAGAAGGUAACAGCCCUGUAGUCAAAACUUCGUUCUCUCCUGAGUGGAUCCUGAGUACGGCGGAACACGUGAAAUUCCGUCGGAAUCCGGGAGGACCAUCUCCCAAGGCUAAAUACUCCCUAGUGACCGAUAGUGAACCAGUACCGUGAGGGAAAGGUGAAAAGCACCCCGGAAGGGGAGUGAAAGAGAUCCUGAAACCGUGUGCCUACAAGUAGUCAGAGCCCGUUAACGGGUGAUGGCGUGCCUUUUGUAGAAUGAACCGGCGAGUUACGAUCCCGUGCAAGGUUAAGCAGAAGAUGCGGAGCCGCAGCGAAAGCGAGUCUGAAUAGGGCGAAUUGAGUACGUGGUCGUAGACCCGAAACCAGGUGAUCUACCCAUGUCCAGGGUGAAGUUCAGGUAACACUGAAUGGAGGCCCGAACCCACGCACGUUGAAAAGUGCGGGGAUGAGGUGUGGGUAGGGGUGAAAUGCCAAUCGAACCUGGAGAUAGCUGGUUCUCUCCGAAAUAGCUUUAGGGCUAGCCUCAAGGUAAGAGUCUCGGAGGUAGAGCACUGAUUGGACUAGGGGCCCCUACCGGGUUACCGAAUUCAGUCAAACUCCGAAUGCCGAUGACUUAUCCUUGGGAGUCAGACUGCGAGUGAUAAGAUCCGUAGUCGAAAGGGAAACAGCCCAGACCGCCAGCUAAGGUCCCAAAGUAUACGUUAAGUGGAAAAGGAUGUGGAGUUGCUUAGACAACCAGGAUGUUGGCUUAGAAGCAGCCACCAUUUAAAGAGUGCGUAAUAGCUCACUGGUCGAGUGACUCUGCGCCGAAAAUGUACCGGGGCUAAACGUAUCACCGAAGCUGCGGACUGUUCUUCGAACAGUGGUAGGAGAGCGUUCUAAGGGCUGUGAAGCAAGACCGGAAGGACUUGUGGAGCGCUUAGAAGUGAGAAUGCCGGUAUGAGUAGCGAAAGAGGGGUGAGAAUCCCCUCCACCGAAUGCCUAAGGUUUCCUGAGGAAGGCUCGUCCGCUCAGGGUUAGUCGGGACCUAAGCCGAGGCCGAAAGGCGUAGGCGAUGGACAACAGGUUGAUAUUCCUGUACCACCUCCUCACCAUUUGAGCAAUGGGGGGACGCAGGAGGAUAGGGUAAGCGCGGUAUUGGAUAUCCGCGUCCAAGCAGUUAGGCUGGGAAAUAGGCAAAUCCGUUUCCCGUGAAGGCUGAGCUGUGAUGGCGAGCGAAUUAUAGUAGCGAAGUUCCUGAUUCCACACUGCCAAGAAAAGCCUCUAGCGAGGUGAGAGGUGCCCGUACCGCAAACCGACACAGGUAGGCGAGGAGAGAAUCCUAAGGUGAUCGAGAGAACUCUCGUUAAGGAACUCGGCAAAAUGACCCCGUAACUUCGGGAGAAGGGGUGCUCUGUUAGGGUGCAAGCCCGAGAGAGCCGCAGUGAAUAGGCCCAGGCGACUGUUUAGCAAAAACACAGGUCUCUGCGAAGCCGUAAGGCGAAGUAUAGGGGCUGACGCCUGCCCGGUGCUGGAAGGUUAAGAGGAGCGCUUAGCGUAAGCGAAGGUGCGAAUUGAAGCCCCAGUAAACGGCGGCCGUAACUAUAACGGUCCUAAGGUAGCGAAAUUCCUUGUCGGGUAAGUUCCGACCCGCACGAAAGGCGCAACGAUCUGGGCACUGUCUCAACGAGAGACUCGGUGAAAUUAUAGUACCUGUGAAGAUGCAGGUUACCCGCGACAGGACGGAAAGACCCCGUGGAGCUUUACUGCAGCCUGAUAUUGAAUGUUGGUACAGCUUGUACAGGAUAGGUAGGAGCCUUGGAAACCGGAGCGCCAGCUUCGGUGGAGGCAUCGGUGGGAUACUACCCUGGCUGUAUUGACCUUCUAACCCGCCGCCCUUAUCGGGCGGGGAGACAGUGUCAGGUGGGCAGUUUGACUGGGGCGGUCGCCUCCUAAAAGGUAACGGAGGCGCCCAAAGGUUCCCUCAGAAUGGUUGGAAAUCAUUCGCAGAGUGUAAAGGCACAAGGGAGCUUGACUGCGAGACCUACAAGUCGAGCAGGGACGAAAGUCGGGCUUAGUGAUCCGGUGGUUCCGCAUGGAAGGGCCAUCGCUCAACGGAUAAAAGCUACCCCGGGGAUAACAGGCUUAUCUCCCCCAAGAGUCCACAUCGACGGGGAGGUUUGGCACCUCGAUGUCGGCUCAUCGCAUCCUGGGGCUGUAGUCGGUCCCAAGGGUUGGGCUGUUCGCCCAUUAAAGCGGUACGCGAGCUGGGUUCAGAACGUCGUGAGACAGUUCGGUCCCUAUCCGUCGCGGGCGCAGGAAAUUUGAGAGGAGCUGUCCUUAGUACGAGAGGACCGGGAUGGACGCACCGCUGGUGUACCAGUUGUUCUGCCAAGGGCAUCGCUGGGUAGCUAUGUGCGGACGGGAUAAGUGCUGAAAGCAUCUAAGCAUGAAGCCCCCCUCAAGAUGAGAUUUCCCAUUCCGCAAGGAAGUAAGAUCCCUGAAAGAUGAUCAGGUUGAUAGGUCUGAGGUGGAAGUGUGGCGACACAUGGAGCUGACAGAUACUAAUCGAUCGAGGACUUAACCAAU